CAGUAAGAGCGUGGGCAGCUUGGGCAGGUCCCACCACCGAGCCGUGGGAGGAGGACCUGGUGUGAGAUGCCUGGUGGGGAAGUGUGAGCCCCCAGAGGUUCCUGGGCUGCAGGAGGUGUUGGAAGGCAAUUGCCGAACAGAGGAAAGGCUAUCAGUCAUCUGGUUUUGACUCCUGUGUAUGGAAAUCCAGAGAAUAUGUUACCAAUUUUCAGCUGUGUGCUUGGUAGUUCAGCAGCAGCCACGGACUCCCCUUCCACCUCCUAAUGACCCUACUGCAAAAAGCUCGUGCUAAUGAUGCAAAAAGCUCAAAUCAAAGUUUGGUUUCAGCUACAUGACAAGUCUGCAGGAAGCCAGUGAUCCACAGCUGUAGUGGACGCAGCCACCCGCAGCAGACUGCUGACUCUCCAUCCUUUCCACCUGCACUCUCCCACCUCCACCUGCGUGUUUGCACUGAAUAUUGUGUGUUUGAUCAUGCAGCUGUGCAGUGAACGCAGUCAGCCCAUUGAUCCUGCUGAAGUCCACUGCUGUCCUUCAGAAUUUAUUUUUGGCAGGAUCUGUGAGCUGAUCCAGUUUGCCAUGUGAGUGCACCAGCUGAUACAAGGCUGGAAAGGUAUGGAUGGGGUUAAAUUUAAUUAAAAAAAAAAAAAAAUUAUUAUAUCUCAUAGUGUACAGAUCCUUUCUGUGUCUGUAUUGGAUUUCUCGACCCGUCUUACAAAUGGAUCAGGGCUAUAGGCUUUUUUUGAAGGGAAAAUGUCAAAGCCCAGGGGAUCUGGCCCGAGCCGGAGGGUUGUUAAAGAAAC